AGUCUAUGGCAUACCACCCUGAACACGCCUGAUCUCAUCUGGUCUUGGAAGCUAAGCAGGGUCAGGCCUGGUUAAUACUUGGAUGGAAGACAGACCUUCAGAAGAGACUGCUCAGAGACAA
rnacentral:rRNA from 1 species